CUUCCCCAAAAAAGGAAGAAUUUACAGAUGAUCAGCAUGACCCCUGCUCAGGGAUGACACACAAUUUCAUGCCACACUCCAUAUUUUU
ensembl:snRNA U6 U6 spliceosomal RNA